rnacentral:ncRNA from 2 species
CAAAAAUAAAUAGUGUAUUUUCAUAUAAUCGUAGGGAUAUGGCCUACAAGUUUCUACCUGUUUACCGUAAAUAAACUGACUAUGAAAAGCAGAGAUAAAAUA